CGUUGUUCGGAAUUACUGGGCUUAAAGGGUGCGUAGGCUGCGCGGAAAGUUGGGUGUGAAAUCCCUCGGCUCAACCGAGGAACUGCGCUCAAAACUACCGUGCUCGAGGGAGACAGAGGUGAGCGGAACUUAGGGUGGAGCGGUGAAAUGCGUUGAUAUCCUAAGGAACACCCGUGGCGAAAGCGGCUCACUGGGUCGCUUCUGACGCUGAGGCACGAAAGCUAGGGUAGCGAACGGG
rnacentral:rRNA from 1 species